GGGAAGUUGGCUCAGUGGUAGAGUGCUUGCCUUGCAUGCAUGAGGGCCCUGGGUUCGAUUCCUCAGUACCA
rfam:Dipodomys ordii contig_13778, whole genome shotgun sequence.